rnacentral:lncRNA from 1 species
AAUAGAAUAUGGGCUUCAAACGCGUAACAAGCUCGACCCGGGAACCUUCCUUUUUCUUGCCUCUUGCCGAUGCUUCUGCAACUCUUUCAUCAUUUUUUUCAUGUGCUUUCAGGUAUGUAUAAAUAAUCAAACAAAAUCUUAAUUACUCCAUUCUCAUGCUUUCUUCUUUCUGGUGUUUAUGAUACAAUGCUAAUUUUGUACCUUUGGAUUGCAUACAUGUACGACAUAUUUGGUUUUGAUUAUCAAUUUCCUACACUUUACCUUAAGCUGCUGGUGUCACUGUGAUCUUCAUGAAAAUUAUUAAUUUAAAUUGUCGAUAACAAAGUGAUGGUAAUAGGGUGCUGUGUGAUUCUUUUGAGGACCCAUUAGCUGAAUAGUUUAGGAUCUUAAUUGAACAAAGAGUGAACAGGAAUUUUGCGAUUUCCCUACAAUGUGUUAUGUUAUAUGUCCUAUAUCACCUAUAUAUAUUAAAAAUUUUACUUUUUAAUCUUGGGCUUUUGUUAGAGGUGAAGAUAGUUUGCAUUAAUUUGUUCCAUUUGCGCUUUUAGGCAGGUAUUUUCUAUGAUGUUUAGUGAUUAGAAGUAUGUGCUGAAAGAAUAAAUUAGAUGAACACAUUCGACUAAAACCAUGUAAUUAAGUACUGUCAUCUUGCGUUAUUAAUUAUUAAAAUAAGAUGGUGGAAUACUAUUUACGUUGAACCUCUUGUCUUUCCAGUAAUACCAAUAGUAGUAGAAGAAGAUCAUGACUUAGGUAACCAGUUUCUUGAUUGCUGGACUAUAAUUAGCACCAGAUAGAUUUAUGUUCCUUUUUAUCCCCCGACCCGGACCUUUCAUUCUCUUAUUAACAAGUAAAUAGUUGGCUCCCCAGACUCCAGAGUAACUUGAACGCUACCUUCACCCAUCACUGUUGUGAGCCUGAUCUCUUUCUCAAGAAUUCUUUCAAGAUCUAUCAUAACCAUUUCCAUAUUCGGUCUCCCUUUUCCUGGAAGAGCUAUGCAUCGUAGUGUCAAUCUAAUAAAGUCCUUUAUUCCCUCAGCGGUGAAGCUCCCGACAAGCCGGCGGUCUGUGAUACUGUUUGAAUUUAGGUGCGUCUCCACCUUCACAAAUUUUAGAAAGAACAAUGAAUUUGAAGAAUCAAUGGCCUAUAUAAUAAGACUGUUACAAAAGACAGUGUAAGACUCUAUUAAGUGUUUAACUUUAGUUGGUUUUAGAGAAUGGAGCAGUCAAGUCUUCCCUAAUGUGUUGUACUGUCAUAUGACAUCUACAUACUUAAAAGUGGAUACAUAAAUUUAAAAAGCUGUUCAAAAGUGGACAAGAGGAUAUAUAUAUAUAUAUAUAUAUAUAUAUAUACAUGUAUAUAUUCUCAGUACCCAUUGAAGCAUACUUCCAUCUGAUCUGCAGGAAUCAAUAUGUGAAGCCUCCUGUCCUAUUAUAAGCUCCAAAAGAAAUACCCCAAAGCUGUACACGUCACUCAUCUCGGUAAAUAUCCCUGUUUGAACUGCCCUAAACAUUGUGAUAGAUGAUAAAUCAAAUUUAGGUAAAUACUAACUUGAAAGCAAGUAUAAUAAAGCAAGAAAAGAAUUAGUUUACUCUGGAUCUUCGAAAACAUUGACUCUGGUUGAGCGAGAUGAUGGACCUGCAUCUUCAAUUUUCUCUAGUAGUAUUGAAACUCCUGUAUCUGCUACGUUAGGAAUGAAGUUCUCAUCAACCAAAACAUUUGCUGUCUUGAAGUUACGGUGCACUAUAGGAAUUUGUUGGCUAUGUAAAUGGCAUAAACCUGCAUCAGAAGAACUUUUCAAAUUAUGGCCUGUUCUUCAUCUCAUGGUACAUAAUCAGUUUGUUUGUUGAUACCUCUAGCUGCUCCAAGAGCUAUGGACAGCCUCUGCUUGAACUCGAGCUUUGUUGCUGAAUCUUUUCCACUGGCUGUCAAACGAUGAAUCUCUAUAACAUGACAUGUAACUAAUAAGUAAUUAUGAGCUACUUCUCUCAACGAGUCAUACCAUAUAAAUGACUGCACAUGCUGCCAUUUGGUAAAUAUUCAUACACCAAUAUUUGGUUUCCGCUGUCCUGACAGUAACCUAGAAGAGAAACUAGGUUUCGGUGCCAAAUCCCAGACAAGUAAGCUACCUGUUAUUCCAAAUUGGAAAGUUUAGAAUUAUGAAGAAUACUAGGAAGAAAAGACUUUCAAUGCAAUGAUAAUUGAGAUUUGAGAAGCUGUUGGUAAGAGCUGGAGAUUUUUAUGUUAUUAUUUAUUGUCUCUUGGCAAUGUAGAAGUGAUUCAUUUCCCUUUUACAUGCACUCAUAAGAAUAAUUUUAUUUGGAUCCACAAGCUGAUGAGUUUGUUCAAACAAAUGUUUGUAAUCUUUAGUUGAUCAACGGUAGAAAACAUGAAAUAUUUAAAUUCUAAACAAAUACCUCUCUACAGAAUAAAACAUGAACAUACACAUCUUGAGCUAAAUGCCAUAUUAAAUUGUGUAUAUUUGAUAAUGAUUUUCAGAUUUAAAUUUGUUAUACCUCUUCAACAAAUUCUUGUUGAGGGACACCAGUACGCCUUUUGAUAGCCACAAAAAUCCCAUCACAAAGCAAUCCUUUAUAAACUAUACCAAAACUUCCGUAUCCAAUGAGAUUGCUCUCAUCGAAGUGGUUGGUAGCUUGCUCUAACUCUUCCAUUGUGAAUUGGCUUGCUUCAUGUGGUCCAGUCAGAGGAUGGGCUACAGAAGAACUGGGCUCACCUCUUUUUUGUUUCUCCACUGUAAUAUAGUUGAGCAGGAAUUAACAAAACUAGACAUAGAAUUAUAUACUAGUUAUCUUUAUGUCUAAUUUUGUGACCCCUUGCCUACUGCAUAUGGAUCUGAAGAACCUGUAUCUGAAUUCUUGUUUGAGAGCUUUUUACACUUUAACAUGCAAAACCAUAUAACUCCAAUGACUAUUCCCAACAAUGCUAUAGCUCCUGCUGCACCUCCAAGUGUAACUGCAAAUGAUCGUGACAUCUGGUAUGAUCUCCACGUGGUUCACUGAAGACCUGAACAUUUGAAGCUGCUAUAGCGAAAAAGAAAAAAUUAUUCGACUGAAGUAUCUAAAAAACGUAAAACUUAUAAUCAAUCUUUACAUACUAGAGCCAAAAAUAGGAUUGCAGUUAAGUACCAGUUUAUACAAUUGGUGAGGUCAGGAACUCCAGAUCAAGUGGUCCUCUUUUAUACGAUGGCUUUGUGCUGUUCUCCCUACUCAAGUGCUUAUUGCGUCCGCUUCUUCUCUGAAAUGUUAAAUGGCUGAUCUCAAGUCUCCACUUGGGAAGUUGUAUUAUAGGAAGAACCCCAAGGGGUUAUUAACUCAUGUGAUAGUGAGUCUAGUGAUAAGUACCUUUCAAGGCGUAGGUGAUGAGUUCAAUACUUUGAAAAGGCAUGGCCACCCGCACAUAGUUUAAUAUGGGAUUACCAGGUGUGUGUUGUUGGGUGGGUAUUACGUGCACCUAGUGGUUUAUCAUGUGCACAACCUCAUCGUGAAAAAAGACGUAUAGUAAGGAUCUAUGCUGUCAAUUCUGAUAAAGAGAUCAGAGGACAACUCACUGUCUUUCAUAGUCCCCCACUGUACUGCCUAGUUUUCAGCAUAUCAUUGCGAUCACAUAGUGAAUCCUAAGAGAGCAUCAUUGCUUUCUUGCAUGACAAACCCUUGCUAUGUUUUCUUUGUUGGGUAGGGGUUGAUUCCACAGGACAGUUGAAGAAUUUAAGCUGAAGUCACUACAUUUCUUUUCCUGACAUAGACCAGUUGGUCAUAUAUUUUUUCAUGAAUUUCAUAUAUACUCCUAACAAUUUUCCUAUUUCUAAAUUUUAGUACCUUGGGUAGGAGCAGCUAUUCAUCAAAAAAAUUAGUUUCUCCUCAUCAUAUAGAAAAUAUUCUACUGUGUAAAAGGAUAGUGAUAUUUGAACAUACCUGUAGAGAUUCUGAACUUGUAUUAUCGUGCUUUGUAUAAACUUUGUGGAAUUUUCUUACUUAAAAAUGUGAGCUGCUGUUAGUAAACCGUAAAGAUUUUUUUCUAGGACAAGGAUGGAUUGCCACUGGAAUUCAAUAUUGUUGAAGGUUAUCAGAAGAGAGGUAGUUAUCAGACUAUCUUAUCAAUUAGAAGUCUCUUUCUUCAGUUCACUCUAUCUGCCAUUUGCCUCUUUCACCAUCUGAUAUGGAAAAAAUAGAGUGAGUUUCGAUAUUUUUGUAGUGGGAUGGGACUAUUCCUCAUAGAUGAUCAUGACAACUGAACCAACAAGACAAUAACAGAUAAAAAGUGAUGCAGGCAUUUAACAGAUAAAAACUUAUUUUGUUGGGAAGUGUGGAUUUCAUCUAGGGUUUAUGAUGCAUGGCCUGAUUAAAAAAGUUUUCUUUCUUACUAAUGUUUAGUUUCUUAAGCUGAAUAUCCUAUAAGAGAUAUAUUUUCUUUUUUAGUCCGUUCUAAAAUUUAAGAUACGAAUUUAUUUUCAGAGAAUAAAAUCACGUAAAAUUCCUAGCAUGCCAUCUUUUAGAUUUCACUGAUUUUUAGCAAAUGUUAAGGAUAUAUGUUUAGAAAAGUAGAGUUCUCGUUUUAGAAAUGUAUCUAUAAUUUUAGAAUGGGGGGAGUAGGAUUUUCCGUAACUAUGGUACCUUAAAAUACAAGAGUAUCAUUGAGAGUACUAUGUAUAGCAGCAUAGCAGCAGAAUUUGUUUUUUACUUUGCUGGAAAAGAAGUAGCUUAUGCAUGUGGUCCUCAGUCCAGCUAAUCUCCUUUCCUUUCACCCCCAUUAUUUCUUCUUCCACUUCAAGGUUUUGCUUGGAAUAGGUAAAACUUGACUGCAUUGUGGGGACUGUAAACUCAACUUCACAGCCAUUCUUUGGGCUCUCUACUUCUUCAAAUGUUGCUACUGGAAAUCUUGAAUGCUUGAUUUGUCAAUGUUGGAUCCAGUCAAGUGGAUGACAACCUCAUGAUCAAGUACAUUUGUUGUUUGUGCCAUUUCACCUUGUAGAAGCAUUUUAUAUCUUGUUUUUUAUGUGGGGACAAAUUUGUGGUGCUUUACACUAACUAACUAACUAGGCUAUUUUAUUCAGAUUACCUAAUAUGUAUCUCUAUUAUCCUAUGUUUUGAACUUUUGAUAGCAGGGACUAUUUGAAGUCUUGCAUGUAUAAUAAAUGUCUGCUUUUUUCUUUUUUACUUCCAAUUAGAUUAAGAUGGAUUAAAUGUGAUGCUGAUGAUGUGAGUUAAAGGGUUUUUGUGCAGGCAGCCGAGCAAGAGCAACCUUCAUUUUCAUAAUUACCAUCUCGACGACUAGUGUCAUGUCCAUGUGAAUCCAAUUUGAAACUGUAGAGGUUCUGAAUUACCCUUCUGCAUGGAGAAUAAGCUCCAUUACAUUGAUGAGCUUAUGAUGUUUUUGGGGGACUAUGGUGAUUUGAAGGAAGUAAGCCGUGGGGUUAGUUUGGUCAUUCAUGGUGGAGUGAGUCUCGAGACUUUAGAGAACUUAUGGGGCAGAUUGACUAGUUUGCCCUUUGGAAGAAAAAGAAAUUCUAGGGAUGUCUUUUGAGCAGAGGGGUGAAGAUGUUCAAAUUGCCACUUCAGAAGGGUAAAAGGCCUGUAAUAUGUUGUGUAAUUUUCGAGUCAAAAUAUUAAAUAUGGCAAUUUCAAACUAUUUCUCCUAUUUAUUGCACAGAUAUAAUUACAAUUACAAUUUUGUUUUACAUUUACAAAUGGGGAAAGUCCUCUUAUAUAAUCUC